GAGUGUAGAGGCUGCAGGUAGCCUAGUGGUUAAAGUGUAGAGGCUGCAGGUAGCCUAGUGGUUAGAGUGUAGAGGCUGCAGGUAGCCUAGUGGUUAGAGUGUAGAGGCUGCAGGUAGCCUAGUGGUUAGAGUGUAGAGGCUGCAGGUAGCCUAGUGGUUAGAGUGUAGAGGCGGCAGGUAGCCUAGUGGUUAGAGUGUAGAGGCUGCAGGUAGCCUAGUGGUUAGAGUGUAGAGGCUGCAGGUAGCCUAGUGGUUAGAGUGUAGAGGCUGCAGGUAGCCUAGUGGUUAGAGUGUAGAGGCUGCAGGUAGCCUAGUGGUUAGAGUGUAGAGGCUGCAGGUAGCCUAGUGGUUAGAGUGUAGAGGCUGCAGGUAGCCUAGUGGUUAGAGUGUAGAGGCUGCAGGUAGCCUAGUGGUUAGAGUGUAGAGGCUGCAGGUAGCCUAGUGGUUAGAGUGUAGAGGCUGCAGGUAGCCUAGUGGUUAGAGUGUAGAGGCUGCAGGUAGCCUAGUGGUUAGAGUGUAGAGGCUGCAGGUAGCCUAGUGGUUAGAGUGUAGAGGCUGCAGAUAGCCUAGUGGUUAGAGUGUAGAGGCUGCAGGUAGCCUAGUGGUUAGAGUGUAGAGGCUGCAGGUAGCCUAGUGGUUAGAGUGUAGAGGCUGCAGGUAGCCUAGUGGUUAGAGUGUAGAGGCUGCAGGUAGCCUAGUGGUUAGAGUGUAGAGGCUGCAGAUAGCCUAGUGGUUAGAGUGUUGGGCCAGUAAAAAUGUGUUGUUCUACCCCUGAACAAGGCAGUUAACCCACUGUUCCUAGGCUGUCAUUGUAAAUAAGAAUUUGUUAUUAACUGACUUGCCUGGUUAAACAAACAAAAAUCCUAGACACAAUGUACUACUGAUUUGAGAAAAGGAGGGAGGCCU